rnacentral:siRNA from 1 species
CAGAGAGAGCAUAAUCGCCAUGUU